AUUUAGGGUGUAAGUUACUUGUGCAUUCUUAACCCCGAAGUGCAUAACUUUGCAUUUCUCUACGUUAAAUUUAAUCUGCCAUUUUAGUGCCCAGUCCCCCAAUCUAUCCAAAUCUCUCUGCAGCAAAGCAAUAUCCUGCUCACAUUUUAUUACUUUACAAAGAUUUGUGUCAUCUGCAAACACUGAAACAUGGCUUUCAAUGCCUAUUUUAAGAUCAUUUAUAAAUAUGUUAAAUAGAAGUGGUCCCAAAACAGAACCCUGAGGGACACCACUUACCACUUUUGUCCA